CCUACGUGUGGCAGCAGUGAGGAAUAUUGGUCAAUGGACGAGAGUCUGAACCCGCCAAGUAGCGUGAAGGAUGACUGCCCUAUGGGUUGUAAACUUCUUUUAUAUGGGAAUCAACUGUUCCACGUGUGGGAUUUUGUAUGUACCAUCUGAAUAAGGAUCGGCUAACUCGGUGCCCUCCGCCGCGGUAAUACGGAGGAUCCGAGCGUUAUCCGGAUUUAUUGUGUUUAAAGGGUGCGUAGGCGGGUUAUAAAGUCAGCGGUAAAAGCGUGGAGCUCAACUCCAUCCAGCCGUUGAAACGGAUGAUCUUGAGUGGGCGAGAAGUAUGCGGAAUGCGUGGUGUAGCGGUGAAAUGCAUAGAUAUCACGCAGAACUCCGAUUGCGAAGGCAGCAUACCGGCGCCCGACUGACGCUGAAGCACGAAAGCGUGGGUAUCGAACAGGAUUAGAUACCCGAGUAGUC
rnacentral:rRNA from 1 species